AAAGUGGAAAGGAUAUAUAUGAGUGACAGUAUAUAUAGGUAGGGCAGCACAGUGGCACAGUGGGUAGCACUGUGUCUUGCAGCUGGGAGUCCUGGGUUCAAUUCCAACCUGGGCCCUUUCUGUAAGGAGUUUGUAUGUUCUCCCUGUGUCUGUGUGGGUUUCCUCCGAGUACUUCGGUUUCCUCCCACAUUCCAAAAACAUACAAGAGACAGGUAGGGGGUCUCCCUGGUGCCCACAGGUGAAUGUGAUAGGCGCUGGGGCUCUCCUGAGUGUGGCUAUGAACAGCCAGGCUUAGGAGUGUGUAGGCCAUGGGAAAUGAUAGGGAAAUAGGGAAGCAGGUAGGGGGUCUCCCUGGUGCCCACAGGUGAAUGUGAUAGGUGCUGGGGCUCUCCUGAGUGUGGCUAUAAACAGCCAGGCUUAGGAGUGUGUAGGCCAUGGGAAAUGAUAGGGAAAUAGGGAGGCAGGUAGGGGGUCUCCCUGGUGCCCACAGGUGAAUGUGAUAGGUGCUGGGGCACUCCUGAGUGUGGCUAGGAGCAGCCAGGCUUAGGAGUGUGUAGGCCAUGGGUAAGAUAGGAUAGGUAAGCUAGAGGGAAGAAUUAAUUCCUGGGGAGGGGGGUCCCCCUUUU